UGGGGAAUAUUGGACAAUGGGCGCAAGCCUGAUCCAGCCAUGCCGCGUGAGUGAUGAAGGCCUUAGGGUUGUAAAGCUCUUUUGUCCGGGAAGAUAAUGACUGUACCGGAAGAAUAAGCCCCGGCUAACUUCGUGCCAGCAGCCGCGGUAAUACGAAGGGGGCUAGCGUUGCUCGGAAUCACUGGGCGUAAAGGGCGCGUAGGCGGACUCUUAAGUCGGGGGUGAAAGCCCAGGGCUCAACCCUGGAAUUGCCUUCGAUACUGGGAGUCUUGAGUUCGGAAGAGGUUGGUGGAACUGCGAGUGUAGAGGUGAAAUUCGUAGAUAUUCGCAAGAACACCGGUGGCGAAGGCGGCCAACUGGUCCGAUACUGACGCUGAGGCGCGAAAGCGUGGGGAGCAAACAGGAUUAGAUACCCUGGUA
rnacentral:rRNA from 1 species